rnacentral:rRNA from 1 species
GCCCAACCGAAGAAGUGCAUCGGAAACUGGGAAACUUGAGUGCAGAAGAGGACAGUGGAACUCCAUGUGUAGCGGUGAAAUGCGUAGAUAUAUGGAAGAACACCAGUGGCGAAGGCGGCUGUCUGGUCUGUAACUGACGCUGAGGCUCGAAAGUAUGGGUAGCAAACAGGAUUAGAUACCCUGGUAGUCCAUACCGUAAACGAUGAAUGCUAAGUGUUGGAGGGUUUCCGCCCUUCAGUGCUGCAGUUAACGCAUUAAGCAUUCCGCCUGGGGAGUACGGCCGCAAGGCUGAAACUCAAAGGAAUUGACGGGGGCCCGCACAAGCGGUGGAGCAUGUGGUUUAAUUCGAAGCUACGCGGAGAACCUUACCAGGUCUUGACAUACUAUGCAAAUCUAAGAGAUUAGACGUUCCCUUCGGGGACAUGGAUACAGGUGGUGCAUGGUUGUCGUCAGCUCGUGUCGUGAGAUGUUGGGUUAAGUCCCGCAACGAGCGCAACCCUUAUUAUCAGUUGCCAGCAUUAAGUUGGGCACUCUGGUGAGACUGCCGGUGACAAACCGGAGGAAGGUGGGGAUGACGUCAAAUCAUCAUGCCCCUUAUGACCUGGGCUACACACGUGCUACAAUGGAUGGUACAACG